GACGAACGCUGGCGGCGUGCUUAACACAUGCAAGUCGAGCGGUAAGGCCCUUUCGGGGGUACGACGAGCGGCGAACGGGUGAGUAACACGUGGGUGACCUGCCCUCCAGCUCUGGGAGUAAGCCCGGGAAACCGUGGGUCUAAUACUGGAUAUGACUCCAUGACGCAUGUUGUGGGGUGGAAAGCCUUGUGCGGCUGAGGAUGGGCCCGCGGCCUAUCAGCUUGUUGGG
rnacentral:rRNA from 1 species